rnacentral:rRNA from 1 species
AAUGGGCGCAACUGCAUCUAGCCAUGCCGCGUGUGUGAUGAAGGUCUUAGGAUCGUAAAGCACUUUCGCCAGGGAUGAUAAUGACAGUACCUGGUAAAGAAACCCCGGCUAACUCCGUGCCAGCAGCCGCGGUAAUACGGAGGGGGUUAGCGUUGUUCGGAAUUACUGGSCGUAAAGCGUACGUAGGCGGAUCAGAAAGUUAGGGGUGAAAUCCCGAGGCUCAACCUCGGAACUGCCUCUAAAACUCCUGGUCUUGAGUUCGAGAGAGGUGAGUGGAAUUCCAAGUGUAGAGGUGAAGUYCGUAGAUAUUUGGAGGAACACCAGUGGCGAAGGCGGCUCACUGGCUCGAUACUGACGCUGAGGUACGAAAGUGUGGGGAGCAAACAGGAUUAGAUACCCUGGUAGUCCACACCGUAAACGAUGAAUGCCAGUCGUCGGGCAGUAUACUGUUCGGUGACACACCUAACGGAUUAAGCAUUCCGCCUGGGGAGUACGGUCGCAAGAUUAAAACUCAAAGGAAUUGACGGGGGCCCGCACAAGCGGUGGAGCAUGCGGUUUAAUUCGAAGCAACGCGCAGAACCUUACCAACCCUUGACAUCCUGUGCUAACUCGAGAGAUCGAGCGUUCACUUCGGUGACGCAGUGACAGGUGCUGCAUGGCUGUCGCCAGCUCGUGUCGUGAGAUGUUCGGUUAAGUCCGGCAACGAAGCGCAACCUCACAUCCUUAGUUGCCAGCAGUUCGGCUGGGCACUCUAAGGAAMSUGCCCGUGAAUAAGCGGGAGGAAGGUGUGGAUGACGUCAAGUCYUCAUGG